rnacentral:rRNA from 1 species
AUACGUAGGUGACAAGCGUUAUCCGGAUUUACUGGGUGUAAAGGGCGUGUAGGCGGUUUAGCAAGUCAGAAGUGAAAUUCCCGGGCUUAACUUGGGCGCUGCUUCUGAAACUGCUUUACUUGAGUGCUGGAGAGGAUUGUGGAAUUCCUAGUGUAGCGGUAAAAUGCGCAGAUAUUAGGAGGAACACCGGUGGCGAAGGCGGCUAUCUGGACAGUAACUGACGCUGAGGCGCGAAAGCACGGGGAGCAAACAGGAUUAGAUACCCUGGUAGUCCGUGCCGUAAACGAUGAAUACUAGGUGUAGGGGGUAUCGACUCCCUCUGUGCCGCAGUUAACACAUUAAGUAUUCCACCUGGGGAGUACGGCCGCAAGGUUGAAACUCAAAUGAAUUGACGGGG